rnacentral:rRNA from 1 species
UACAGAGGUCCCAAGCGUUGUUCGGAUUCAUUGGGAGUAAAGGGUGCGUAGGUGGCGCUGUAAGUCGGGUGUGAAAUUUCGGAGCUUAACUCCGAAACUGCAUUCGAUACUGCGGUGCUUGAGGACUGGAGAGGAGACUGGAAUUCAUGGUGUAGCAGUGAAAUGCGUAGAGAUCAUGAGGAAGACCAGUGGCGAAGGCGGGUCUCUGGACAGUUCCUGACACUGAGACACGAAGGCCAGGGGAGCAAACGGG